UGAUGGGUAGCCGGGUUGAGAGACCGACCGGCCAGAUUGGGACUGAGACACGGCCCAGACUCCUACGGGAGGCAGCAGUGGGGAAUCUUGCACAAUGGGCGAAAGCCUGAUGCAGCGACGCCGCGUGCGGGAUGAAGGCCUCGGGUUGUAAACCGCUUUCAGCAGGGACGAGGCCGCAAGGUGACGGUACCUGCAGAAGAAGCCCCGGCUAACUACGUGCCAGCAGCCGCGGUAAAU
rnacentral:rRNA from 1 species